UAUUAAAGGGGACCUAAUAAAACCUACGACCUAGACCUUACUCCUUAUACCCAGCGUCGUUACCACCCAAGAGAGGGGACUCCCUUCUCCAAGAGACAAUCAGAAAGAGCUCUAAUCAGCAACCUUCACACACACACCCAUAGGAGCCAUUUUCGUUAACGAGGAGAAAGUGUUCGAUUCACUGAACCAAAAUCUGAAACACUUCGUCAACGAGGCCUUCAAUAUUUCCGACGAGUUAAUUGGUGAUGCUUUUGAUUUCUUCCACCGAUUGACACUCUCUCAUUAAUUAAAUCUGAUUACACUCACUCUCUCUUUCACGUCUAGAGGGGAUGAACUUGAGAGAAAAUUUUCAGAUCUGAAGAACAAAACACUCCAGAAAAUCGAAAAUAAAAACCACAAAAAAGGGGUUUCAAAAGUGCUUCUUAAAUUCUGUCAAUUCAGUUCAUCAUAUUCUGGGUUUCAAGCUGAUUUUAGGGCAGAUUUGAAGUCGUUUUUCUGCUAUUUUUCUGCUGUGGAUCUGAAUUUCAUCUCCUACUUCCAACCUUUAUUUGGUCAGCUUUUCCUAUUGAGUUUUUGCUGCUAGGUAUAUUGUACUCGUCUGUAAUUAGCUAACGGACUUAUAAAUGGAGAUUUUGAAUUGUUCAUAUUAUGGCUAUGUUUAAUCGCAUAACUUCAAUUAUUUUUAACAUCAAAUCUGCUUUGGUUUGUUUCGUUUGCCAACAAUUGAUCCUGUUUGUUUGACUUGAGUUAAAACUAUGUAUGGAGCUGUGUAUUGAUUAAUUGGAUGUACUGCUAAACAGUUUUGCUUCAUAUGAAGUAUCUAGAGCAUCAUGUGCUAAGUAGUCAUUUGUAAGUGAGUUCGGAAGAUAAUCAAUUUUUAAUCUUACCUAGCUAUUUCAUUUGUUUGACUGUGAGGAACCAUGCAUCAGAUUUGGAAUUUUUUUUUUGGAGAUGAGGUUUGAGCAGGUAGGAUUAAACUCAUUUUGUAGCCAAGAUUAUAGUUAACAACGUGUAAUUAUUAAUUUGUCACUAUUCACCUAAUAUGAAUUUCUUAAUUAAGCUUAUGCCAUUGUUCGGAUCUUCCCCAUAAAUUUGACACUACAAGUGUAAAUAUGAGCACUUCAUUUUGAUGAAAAUGCUAAACUUUGGAUUAGCUACUGUUCAACAAAAUUUUGGAAUAUUUUCUCAACUAGGAAAUUCUUUAGUUUAGCCAUAUAUAAUGUGUUAGCUUGGCUGUUAUUACGUGGGAAAAUUUAUUUGAAGAGGUGAUAAGUAGUAUGGCGCUAGUGGAAGAGAUUAAUAUCGAUUUAUUUAUUGAUUUUGAGAAUUGGUUUUGAUCUUUUGUUUGUUUCUGUGAUGAAAUAUGUUGUCCUCUUUUCCUUUCGUCUUUGAGAUAAUUAUGCCAACCAAGUUGUUUAAUUUUGUUUAGAAGAUGGAUUUGGUAAAGAAACUAAACCAAAAUGCAUCUGAGUUAAACAAUUGUUUCUGGCCAUUUCUCGCAUCCAGAUUCAAAUAACAUAUUUAUGAUAAAUUGUGUGCGGCUCUAGUAUGAUUUGCAGCGAUUAACUCUACACUUUUCUCCAAUAAUUUCCAUAACUCCAUGUUCUUACAAUAAUCUCAAAGAUUAGGAAAUUAAUUCAUAACUAGUGAAGAAAACAAUUUGAACAUUCGUAGUUUGCUUUAGGCGCAUUUAUAAUAAAAUCAUCAUAACUACCGGGUACGGUUCCCGUGACGUAGUUGUAAUACCUAAUUUCUAAAUUCGGGGAUACAUUUAUGUGACCUGGCAACAACUUCUAAUAACUUUAAUAAAUUAAAUAUGUUGUAGAUCGUGGGUACGGUUCCUGUGACACAAUUAACAAUGUGUACCGAACAAACAAGUGUACGACAAUCGUAACUUAUAAAAGAAAUAAUUCCAUAAAUCUUUAAAAAACAAAAAGCAGUAAAGCGAAUAAAAUGCACAAUAGAUUUAAAACAUGUAAUAAAUCAGAUAAUUAGGCCAAUUUUAAUAGUUUAAGCGACCGUGCUAGAACCACGUUACCCGGAAAUGUCUAACACCUUCUCCAGGGUUAACAGAAUUCCUUAUAUAGAAUUUCUGGUUCGUAGACUUUUAAAUAAAUUCAAAAUUUCCUCGAUUUGGGAUUUAAAAUAAACCGGUGACUUGGAACACCAAAUAAAUUAUUCAAAGUGACGACUCUAAAAAAUUAUAUAAAAUAAAUCCAUUUCGAAUAAUGUCACUUAUAUUGGAAAAACUCCCUUAUAUCCCCUUUCGAGUGGAUAAAGAAGGAUGUGUGACAACUUAUACUCGAAGGUUAUCUAUUUGAAAAGAUUAUAUUCGAAGGUACUUAUUUUUAAUUAAUUAUUUUGAAACAUCAAGGGUGACUUAUAUUCGAUGAAUAUUUGUUUGAAAAGAUUAUAUUCGAAAAGCACUUAUUUUGAAAGAACUAUUUUGAAAUGAACAUUUAUUUGAUGGAAGUAUAUUUCAAAAUAUUUUUAUCACUUAAAAUGUUUGACUAUUUGAUUGACGCUUGCUGGUUAAGACUUAAGGUGAAAACUAUCAGAGUUGUUGAGUUAUGACUUGUCUUUACUGUAUUUGUGGUUUCGGAUUUGGGUUGUAUCCUCGCUUACAUUUCUGUAUUUUCCUUAUGGUGUUCCGCUUAGUACUUGUUGUUUUCUUUCCUUAUUGUAAUUAUUAUAUUGUUAGCCGUAUCGCAUAGUCUCUAUAUAAAUAUCAUGUUCUGUUUAUUAGACUAGUAGGUGUCUUGAAUAUUUCUCAUCACUAUUCCACCAAGGUUAGUCUUGAUACUUACUGGGAAUCGCUGUGGUGUGCUCAUACUACACUUCUGCACAUUUGUUUUGUGCAGAUCCAUGUAUUGUUCGCUAGUAGCUGUGCGGAUUCUUGCCUAGGAGACUCAAGGUAGCCCUACUGCUGCAUUCGCAGGCUUUGGAGUCACCUUCCUAUUUUAUAUUCACACUGUUGUACUUAUUUCCAU
rnacentral:lncRNA from 1 species